GAAAUGCGAUAAGUAAUGUGAAUUGCAGAAUUCCGUGAAUCAUCGAAUCUUUGAACGCACAUUGCGCUCUUUGGGUUAAAAAACCAAGAGCAUGUCUAUUUGAGUAUCAUUAACUUAUUAAAUUCAAUUAAUUACUGAUUUGAGUUUUGAUCUUUUUAAUAAAAUGCUUUCGAAAUUGUCUUGUCCCCCUUCUUUAUCGAAAAGCUUUUUUUAUUAACUUACAAAGAUUGCAACUCUAAAUACAAAAAACAGUUUGGCUUUUUAAUUAUAUAUUGUAUAUGAAGAAAAGUGGUAUUGGAAAAAUAUAAAAACUUUUUGGAAUAUAUGUAUUAUAUAAUAUUGGAUUCUUUUUAGAAACCAAAAAAAAGGAAAGGCCAUAACUUGUAUUUCUUUCUCCCAUAUUAUAUUCUAUAGAAUAUAUUUUUUUAAUUAUGAUCUCAAAUUAGACAAGAUUACCCGCUGAACUUAAGC
rnacentral:misc_RNA from 1 species